AAGACCUGUCUCAGUUCGGAUUGGAGGCUGAAACCCGCCUCCAUGAAGUUGGAUUCGCUAGUAAUCGCGCAUCAGCCAUGGCGCGGUGAAUACGUUCCCGGGCCUUGUACACACCGCCCGUCAAGCCAUGGGAGCCGGGGGUGCCUGAAGUUCGUGACCGCAAGGAGCGACCUAGGGCAAAACUGGUGACUGGGGCUAAGUCGUAACAAGGUAUC
rnacentral:rRNA from 1 species